rnacentral:rRNA from 1 species
UACGGGGGGGGCAAGCGUUGUUCGGAAUUACUGGGCGUAAAGGGCUCGUAGGCGGCUCGCUAAGUCAGACGUGAAAGCCCUCGGCUUAACCGGGGAACGGCGUCUGAGACUGGCAAGCUUGAAUCCGGGAGAGGGAUGCGGAAUUCCAGGUGUAGCGGUGAAAUGCGUAGAUAUCUGGAGGAACACCGGUGGCGAAGGCAGCUCGCUACACAUAUAUUGACUCUGAGGCACGAAAGCGUGGGGAUCAAACAGG